AGUAAUGAUACAAUCACAACCCCUACAGCACCUACACCUCAAGUACCGGAGAUACAUGGACCAAUUACUAGAGCUCGUGCACGACAACUAAAUUAUCAGGUACUUUCGUUCCUCGGUACUUCAUUUAAUAUUAAUGAGAAUAUGCUGCUGCCUAAGAUGGGUUCUUUUAUGUGUUUUAGGAAUGAAGGACCUAGCUUGGACCUCAAGGAUCAGCGUUGGACAGCAAACCAUGGAGGUGGCAGCAAGGUGGCGGGAGCUAGCUCAAGUGAUGAUUUCAAAACAUUGAAACCGCCAUAACGAGAGAUGAGAAGAAGGCCGCAUCCUUUUCAUCAAUGGGAUUUCGGCCAAGUGGAGGAUUGCCCCUCCAAUGGGUAUCUAUGGGCCAAAGAUGAGAGUUAUAACCUUGCUUUAUUGGGCUUAAGGGCAUGUAAUAGGGUCCAGCCAAUUUUUAGAUGUUUUCGUUGUGUUUUAGGAGGAUUCCUAGGCCGUUUCGGAGUCCCUCAAGGCGAAAACCACCUAGUUCCCCUCGUAUUUAUACCCCAUGAGCCCCCCCAUGGAGCCUUGGGUUUUGAUUAGAUAAAGUUUAGCCUUUGCUACUUUCGUGUAAUCGCGUGUGUCGGUUAGACCACCUGUUUUACCGUCAUCAAGACUCCAACUAUAUUGAGUAUUCAGAUUCGUGAACCUUCAUAUCUCCUAUUCGCAAUUUCAGAUUGCUUUUCAUCUUGUUCUUGCUUAUUCUUCGAUUGAUUGCAGGAACAAAGACCUUCGUGGUCAGGUUGAUCGUGCCGCCGCGGGAUCAAUAACCUUCUGGAGUUGGUGUAUCGAUCGCUAAGGCGCUGCCUCCUAAGUUGUAGUCGGAUCGUCAAUGUCACCUCCUACCAAAUCGAUAAUUAGGUAUCUCAUCGAAAGAUCAGGACACCCUCGAGGCUAUCACGUGGUAUUAGAGCUUAAGGUUGCUCGGUGAGAUUUUUCCAGUUUAUCUGUAGUUUAGAUCUGUUUUUACCUAUCGUCCAGAAAAAGCCAAACAAAAAUUAGAAUUAGUUACCUUGUCCUAGAACCAAUCUGAGCCUUGCAAUUUUCACAUUAGUAUUUGCAUUGUUGAAUCUUUGCUGCAUUAAUCGUGUCGAGUUGCUGGAUUAGAUUGGAUUGUUUUUCAGAUUUUUUCUACUAGAUCGAACUUGCUUUUGGUUUUCUUGUUCUUUGUGUGACGCAGGUUUCCUUCAUCAAUCUUCCGCCGCCAAACUUCCUGCCACACCACCGCCAUAAUCUUCCGCCGCCACCAUAUCUUCCACCGAGUCCCUCUUCGAGUCCUACACCGAGUCCCUCUUCCAGUCCUACACCGAGUCCCUCGUCGAGUCCUACAUCGAGUCGGCAAGUUAUAGUUUUCAGCCGCGAGUUCGAGUCCGAGUCCAAUCAAGAGUGCUUUUGGAAAGUGUUUCAUAAUAGAUCGAAUUUUAUUUAGAGAUCAAGUUGUUCGGAAAGUUGUGAAAAAAAAGAAGGGAAAGAAAAAAAAAGGGAAGAAAGAAAGAAAAAAAAACGAAAAAAAAAAGAGAAAGAGUUCGAGUCAGUUUCGGACCCGAGUCCGAGUAGAAUUAUAGUUUCGGGUGGGUUUGACCCGUGUUCAGUAAAACGGACGUAUCUUUUGCCUACCAACUCGUAUUUGGACGUUCUUGGACUUUUUGGAAAGCUCAAGACGAAGCGCAUCAGGAAAUAUCUAGGGCAUUGCCCUACACUUUGACCCUCAAAUUCGACCUCUAAGGUGGACUUUUCGAGCUCCAAAGUUUCUGCACCCGUUUUACGGCACCGGGGCAGCGCAGUAUAUCUCAGUUUUCUCCACCGUCCGACCUCCGUUUCGAGUGAUCUUGCACUUGUUGGAAAGCUUGUUUCUAUAUGCUUCUAACCCAUAUUUUCUCAUAUUUUUCUGAGUUUUCCUUACUACAGCCUUUGCUAUUCUCCUACGGACCGACGUGCAGCUUUCCGGUCUUAACUUCUUUUGCGUGAGUUUCUGGGGAUAAAAAAAAAGAAAAAGAAAAUAGAAAAGAAUAAGAAGCCAAACAGAAGGCCACAAAAAGAAAAAAAAAGAGAAAAAAAAUAUUCCCCAGAGAUUUACUUGUUUUACCUUUCAUUUGAUAUUUCCUUUCUACCUUUUUCAGUAUCUAGGCUUAGUUAAUUUCUGUAAUUCGUUCUUGUCGACUCUAGCAACUAGGACUAGCAUUUUUGAGCAUAUUUUCAACUUUGCAUUGCUGAUUUGAUUAUUCGCUUUUCCUUAAUACUCACAUAAGCCUCCAAGCUCCACUAUUCUACACCUAGGUUGGUUUGCCUCGAGGCAUCGAUACACUAAUCUUCGGAGGGUUUGUUCUCGCCGCUGGCCAUCACCUUCCUAUUUGCUGGGUAAGAACGAGUAAGAACUUGAUUAAAAGUUGAGUGGAGUGAUCUUUGGAACCCCACAUCCUAGUAGUGCAUAGGGACUUUUCCUUAUGAUUUGUUUCUUGUUUUCUCCUAACGAUGGCAGGUUCUGAUGAUGAUUGACAAGGCCACUCUCCACGCACAAAGGGCAUUAUUUCACAUUUUGAUCGCAAGCUUAGGCUCCGUAACGAGGAGCUGGAUGAGGACGUUCGCGUUGCGAAUGAGAGACUUGGAACCUUGGAGAGCGCGCACAUUGAAACAAAUACCAAGCUAACAUCUUUACAGAAUUCUGUUGCUACCAUUAGUACUUCUCUGGCAGAAAUCACGACGCAACUGGCGGCAAUUGCUGCAACGACCAUCGCUACACCGGGAGGAAACAAUACACACAACCAGCGGACCGCUAAUAACGGUACCUUCACAAGCGAGGUUGAGGAGAACGACGACGACUACUCUGCGGAUACGGAACACGACGGGGCCGUAAACCAUCACAACGACCGUGAUCAUCGCCGAACUCGUUUCAACCGCCGAGGUAUGGGACCGACACGACCUCACAGAGAGGAACAUGACUCGCUGCAUUCUAUUAAACUUAAGGUUCCUCCUUUUGAUGGAAAAUAUGACCCUGAUGCUUACCUUACAUGGGAAUUAGAAUUGAGUCAAAAAUUUACUUGCCAUGAUUUUCCUGCUAAUAAGAGGGUUAGGGCUGCUACUAGUGAGUUUACUGAUUUUACUUCUGUUUGGUGGCAUGAGUAUUGUAUUGCACAUCCUAACACUAUACCACCAACAUGGGAUGAUUUGAAAAGAAUUAUGCGCGCUAGAUAUGUUCCUUCAUACUAUUCGCGUGACUUGUUAAAGAAACUACAACAAUUAAGGCAAGGUAGUAAUUCUGUCCAAGAUUAUUAUCAAGAAAUGCAAAAGAACAUGUUACGUUGUGGUUUAGUUGAGAAUGAGGAAGCAGCUAUGGCUAGAUUCUUUGGUGGUUUAAAUCGUGAAAUUGCUGACAUUUUUUAUUAUAAGGAGUAUAAUUCUAUCAAUCGAUUGUUUCACAUUGCUUGCAAAGCUGAAAGGGAAGUGCAGGGACGACACGCGAACGCGCGGACUAACUUUUCUGCAGGUCAUACUUCCUCAUGGGCAGCACGCAGCCCCGCUGCCCCUUCCACACGCCCAGCUGCACCCCCUACACGUCCGGCUGUUCCGACUACUUCCACCAACAAGCAAAGUACCUCUACACCUACAUCCGCAAAGGUUGGACCAGCAGCAACAAGAAAUACACCCGCUGCCUCUGCACAAAGUUCAGCAGCGUCCGUUGCUUCCACCGGACGGACCGGAGAUAACCAAUGUCGUAGGUGCAAAGGAUACGGGCAUUUUCAGCGGGACUGUCCAACCAAACGCGUUAUGAUCAUACGUGAAGAUGGAGUAUAUGAUUCAGCCAGUGAUUUUGACGAAGCUACCUAUGCUCUCAUUGCCGAGGAAGAGCAAGAAGACCCCGCUGCCCACCAUGACGAGGAGUUAAUGGGAGCUGAAGCCGCUGAUCAGUACUUGAGUUUGAUUGCACAACGCACCUUGAGCGUCCAAAUGAGCCACGCCGAACAAAAUCAGCAGCAUAACUUGUUCCAAACAAAAGGGGUCAUCAAGGAGCGCGUUGUUCGUAUCAUCAUAGAUGGGGGAAGUUGCAAUAAUUUGGCCAGCACGGAGAUGGUGGAAAAACUUGUUCUUACCACCAGGCCGCACCCCCACCCUUACUACAUUCAAUGGUUUAACAACAGCGGUAAGCUCAAGGUAACUAGAACAGUCCGUGCACACUUUACUAUUGGUACAUAUUCUGAUUUUGUGGAUUGUGAUGUGGUACCUAUGCAAGCAUGUUCUAUGUUACUCGGUCGUCCAUGGCAAUAUGAUACAGAUUCUGUUCAUCAUGGUAGAACUAAUCAUUAUUCUUUUAUGCAUGCUGGUAAGAAAAUUGGUUUGAAACCUAUGACUCCUGAACAAAUUGUGAAAGAUGAUCUUGCUAGAGCUAGUAGAGCAAAGAGCAAAGAGAAGGAUAAGAGUGAGAACCAUAAUGUCGCUAAAGAAUUUAAGCACCAAGCGUCUACUAGCAAAUCUGAACCGAAACAUGUUAAUGAAAUUAAAUUGAAAGGUGCAUGCUUGCUUGCAAGUAAAUCCGAUAUUUCUGAGUUAGAUACGAAUAUCUGUUUGCUAUGCAUUCAUUUGCAAAGAGGCUUUGUUUUCAUUUGAGGAUAUGCCUCCCUCUUUGCCCCCUGCUGUUACUCACGUUUUGCAGGAGUAUUCCGACAUCUUUCCACAAGACGUACCACUAGGAUUACCACCUAUUCGAGGGAUUGAACAUCAAAUUGAUUUAAUUCCUGGUGCUUCGUUGCCCAACCAUGCGCCCUACCGUACCAAUCCAGAGGAGACGAAGGAGAUUCAACGACAAGUUCAAGAAUUGCUCGACAAAGGUUAUAUUCGUGAAUCCCUUAGUCCUUGUGUUGUUCCUGUUAUUUUGGUACCAAAGAAAGAUGGUUCUUGGCGUAUGUGUGUAGAUUGUAGAGCUAUUAAUAACAUUACUAUUCGCUAUCGUCACCCAAUUCCUAGACUUGAUGAUAUGUUUUACGUGCAUUUAAAACUAAGUUUGGACUAUAUGAGUGGUUACUCAUGCCUUUCGGUCUUACUAACGCACCUAGCACUUUCAUGCGGUUAAUGAACGAAGUUUUACGUGCUUUCAUAGGACGAUUUGUGGUGGUUUAUUUUGAUGAUAUAUUGAUUUACAGCAGCUCUUUAGAAGACCACUUGAAUCAUUUACGUGCUGUUUUUGAUGCUUUGAGAGAUGCACGUUUGUUUGGUAACCUUGAGAAGUGCACCUUUUGCACCGAUCGAGUUUCGUUUCUUGGCUAUGUUGUCACUCCACAGGGCAUAGAAGUUGAUAAGGCCAAGAUCGACGCUAUUCAAAGCUGGCCAACUCCAACAACGGUCACCCAAGUGAGGAGCUUUCUUGGACUCGCUGGGUUUUAUCGCCGCUUUGUAAAGGAUUUCAGCACCCUUGCUGCACCGCUUAAUGAGCUCACAAAGAAGGACGUUCCAUAUGUAUGGGGCGCUGCACAAGAAGAAGCUUUUCUCAUAUUGAAAGAUAAGUUGACACAUGCUCCUUUACUCCAACUUCCUGAUUUUAAUAAGACUUUUGAGUUGGAGUGUGAUGCUAGUGGAAUCGGUUUAGGAGGUGUGUUGUUACAAGACGGAAAACCUGUUGCAUACUUUAGUGAAAAAUUGAGUGGGCCUAGUCUGAAUUAUUCUACUUAUGAUAAGGAAUUAUAUGCUCUCGUUCGGACUUUAGAAACAUGGCAACAUUAUUUAUGGCCCAAAGAAUUUGUUAUACAUUCUGAUCAUGAAUCUUUGAAGCAUAUUUGUAGUCAAGAAAAGCUGAACCGUCGUCAUGCUAAAUGGGUUGAAUUUAUUGAGUCUUUUCCGUAUGUUAUUAAACAUAAGAAGGGUAAAGAUAAUGUUAUUGCUGAUGCGUUAUCACGUCGUUAUACCUUGUUAUCUCAGCUUGAUUUUCGGAUAUUUGGAUUGGAGACUAUAAAAGAACAAUACGAAUAUGAUGCAGAUUUUAAGGAUGUUUUGCAGCAUUGUAAAGAGAGCAGAACAUGGAACAAGUUCGUCAUUAAUGAUGGAUUUGUGUUCCGUGCUAACAAGCUAUGCAUCCCAGAUAGCUCCGUUCGUCUUUUGUUGUUACAGGAGGCACAUGGAGGAGGGUUGAUGGGUCACUUCGGCGUGAAGAAGACCGAAGAUGUGCUCGCUGAUCAUUUCUUUUGGCCUCGGAUGAGACGGGAUGUUGAGAGAUUUAUCGCUCGCUGCACUACAUGUCAAAAAGCUAAGUCACGACUCAAUCCUCAUGGUUUAUAUAUGCCUCUCCCUGUUCCUAAUGUUCCUUGGGAAGAUAUAUCAACGGAUUUUGUUUUGGGAUUGCCUCGAACUAAGAAGGGGAGGGAUAGCAUAUUUGUUGUUGUUGAUAGAUUUUCUAAGAUGGCACAUUUUAUACCUUGUCAUAAGAGCGAUGAUGCUACAAAUGUUGCUGAUUUAUUCUUUCGUGAAAUUGUUCGCUUGCAUGGUGUGCCCAAUACUAUAGUUUCAGAUCGUGACACAAAAUUUCUUAGCCACUUUUGGAGAUGUUUAUGGGCUAAGUUGGGGACUAAAUUGCUUUUUAGUACUACAUGUCAUCCCCAAACAGAUGGACAAACUGAAGUUGUUAAUUGAACAUUAUCUACUAUGCUUAGGGCUGUUUUAAAGAAGAACUUGAAAAUGUGGGAAGAAUGUUUACCUCAUAUUGAAUUUGCUUAUAAUCGUUCACUGCAUUCAACCACAAAAUUGUGCCCUUUUGAAAUUGUUUAUGGUUUUAUACCUCGUGCACCAAUUGAUUUGCUACCUUUGCCAACUUCUGAAAAAGUUAACUUUGAUGCUAAGGAACGUGCUGAACUUAUAAUAAAAUGCAUGAGACGACUAAAGAGAACAUUGAGCGCAUGAAUUCUAAGUAUAAACUUGCGGGAGAUAGGGCAGAAAACAAAUUGUGUUUGAACCUGGAGAUCUUGUUUCAGCAUUUGCGCAAAGAUCGUUUCCCUGAUUUGCGCAAGUCUAAGUUAAUGCCACGAGCUGAUGGUCCUUUUAAGGUGUUAGCAAAAAUUAAUGAUAAUGCAUAUAAACUUGAGCUACCUGCAGAUUUUGGGGUUAGUCCCACGUUUAAUAUUGCAGAUUUGAAGCCUUAUUUGGGAGAAGAAGAUGAACUACCGUCGAGGACGACUUCGAUUCAAGAAGGGGAGGAUGAUGAGGACAUCCCAAGUAAUGAUACAAUCACAGCCCCUACAGCACCUACACCUCAAGUACCGGAGAUACAUGGACCAAUUACUAGAGCUCGUGCAUGACAACUAAAUUAUCAGGUACUUUCGUUCCUCGGUACUUCAUUUAAUAUUAAUGAGAAUAUGCUGCUGCCUAAGAUGGGUUCUUUUAUGUGUUUUAGGAAUGAAGGACCUAGCUUGGACCUCAAGGAUCAGCGUUGGACAGCAAACCAUGGAGGUGGCAGCAAGGUGGCGGGAG
rnacentral:lncRNA from 1 species